UGAACGCUGGCGGAAUGCUUUACACAUGCAAGUCGAACGGGCUUGAGGGGCUUGCUCCUCAAGUUAGUGGCGAACGGGUGAGUAGUGCAUCGGAACGUACCUAGUCGUGGGGGAUAACGUAGCGAAAGUUACGCUAAUACCGCAUACGUCCUACGGGAGAAAGCAGGGGAUCGCAAGACCUUGCGCGAUUGGAGCGGCCGAUGUCUGAUUAGCUAGUUGGUGGGGUAAAGGCUCACCAAGGCGACGAUCAGUAGCGGGUCUGAGAGGAUGAUCCGCCACACUGGGACUGAGACACGGCCCAGACUCCUACGGGAGGCAGCAGUGGGGAAUUUUGGACAAUGGGGGCAACCCUGAUCCAGCCAUUCCGCGUGAGUGAAGAAGGCCUCGGUUGUAAGCGUCUUCGGUCAGGACGAAACGGUUACGCGUCUAACAUAGCGGACGUACUGACGGUACCGUCGAAGAAGAAGACACCGGCGUAACUACGUGCCAGCAGCCGCGG
rnacentral:rRNA from 1 species